rfam:Gossypium hirsutum cultivar TM-1 chromosome 25, whole genome shotgun sequence
UAUUAAAAAAUUUCAUCAAUUUGUAUCGUUAAAAAUUGAUAUGGUUGCAAAAUAAUUAAACAAUGACACAUGGUGUGCCACAUGUACUUAAUGCUGAUGUAUAGGGAUCAAUUUUAAAUAGUGGAAAUAGAUGAAAUUUUUAACA